rnacentral:rRNA from 1 species
AGAGUUUGAUCCUGGCUCAGGAUGAACGCUGGCGGUCUGCUUAACACAUGCAAGUCGAACGAAUCCCUUCGGGGAUUAGUGGCGGACGGGUGAGUAACGCGUGAGAAUCUACCAAAAGGACUGGGACAACCACUGGAAACGGUGGCUAAUACCGGAUGAGCCGCAACGUAAAAGAGGAAACUCGCCUUUUGAAGAGCUCGCGUCUGAUUAGCUAGUUGGUGAGGUAAAGGCUCACCAAGGCGGCGAUCAGUAGCUGGUCUGAGAGGAUGAUCAGCCACACUGGGACUGAGACACGGCCCAGACUCCUACGGGAGGCAGCAGUGGGGAAUUUUCCGCAAUGGGCGAAAGCCUGACGGAGCAAGACCGCGUGAGGGAGGAAGGCUCUUGGGUUGUAAACCUCUUUUGUCAGGGAAGAACACAAUGACGGUACCUGAAGAAUCAGCAUCGGCUAACUCCGUGCCAGCAGCCGCGGUAAUACGGAGGAUGCAAGCGUUAUCCGGAAUUAUUGGGCGUAAAGCGUCCGCAGGUGGCACUUCAAGUCUGCUGUCAAAGACCGGGGCUUAACCCUGGAAAGGCAGUGGAAACUGAAGCGCUAGAGUGUGGCAGGGGUAGAGGGAAUUCCCGGUGUAGCGGUGAAAUGCGUAGAGAUCGGGAAGAACAUCGGUGGCGAAAGCGCUCUACUGGGCCACAACUGACACUCAGGGACGAAAGCUAGGGGAGCGAAUGGGAUUAGAUACCCCCGUAGUCC